CCUGGUUCUAUUAUUAACUGGUGAGUAGCCAUACAGAAGGCAUUGCGCUUGUAGGAACCCCAACCCAUCAUAUGUAAAGUAAUAGCAGGAUAAUUACUGUUUAUUAGCAUUUAAUGUGUGAGCACCUCCCUCAGGCAGUUCUGCCUCAUCUAUGUCAUAACAUUGUUAGUUGAUCAUGUAGGAAAAAGGGUGUAAAAAACAGCCUUUAAACCAU